GCUCCUUGAUUCAGCGGCGGACGGGUGAGUAAUGCCUAGGAAUCUGCCUGGUAGUGGGGGACAACGUUUCGAAAGGAACGCUAAUACCGCAUACGUCCUACGGGAGAAAGCAGGGGACCUUCGGGCCUUGCGCUAUCAGAUGAGCCUAGGUCGGAUUAGCUAGUUGGUGGGGUAAUGGCUCACCAAGGCGACGAUCCGUAACUGGUCUGAGAGGAUGAUCAGUCACACUGGAACUGAGACACGGUCCAGACUCCUACGGGAGGCAGCAGUGGGGAAUAUUGGACAAUGGGCGAAAGCCUGAUCCAGCCAUGCCGCGUGUGUGAAGAAGGUCUUCGGAUUGUAAAGCACUUUAAGUUGGGAGGAAGGGCAGUAAGUUAAUACCUUGCUGUUUUGACGUUACCGACAGAAUAAGCACCGGCUAACUCUGUGCCAGCAGCCGCGGUAAUACAGAGGGUGCAAGCGUUAAUCGGAAUUACUGGGCGUAAAGCGCGCGUAGGUGGUUUGUUAAGUUGGAUGUGAAAGCCCCGGGCUCAACCUGGGAACUGCAUCCAAAACUGGCAAGCUAGAGUACGGUAGAGGGUGGUGGAAUUUCCUGUGUAGCGGUGAAAUGCGUAGAUAUAGGAAGGAACACCAGUGGCGAAGGCGACCA
rnacentral:rRNA from 1 species